UCCGGGGAUGGCGGCGUCAAGUGGGGCAGGCGCUGGUGGAGGUUGUGGAGAGGCAGGUGGCAGGGGCGCUACCGGCGGAGCUGCGGUCCCGGCCGCUGGACCCCCUCGUCGGGGCGUGACUGUCAUCCCGAAAGGCGGAGCUCAGGGUUCUGAAAACCUAAGACUGCUGCUUUUAUAACUAAAAGAACUUUGACAAGACAUCCAUACUCUGGGGAGGGUUUGGAGGAACAAUGUAAAGCACAGUCAUGCUGGCCUCUACCCCAGCCACACUGACGCUGCGCUGACAGCAAGAGGCGUGUGGGCCUGAAAUUGGACACGGACCUUGUGGAACGUUGAUGGAACAGAGGUAGCACGCCAGGAACCAGCGUCACCUCUCAGAAAAUAUAGCCCCGGAGGUUUUGAGGGGCUUUAACACAGGAAGAAAAUGGUCCCUAUCUCAGGAUAUUUUCUGCUGUGUGAGAGACCCUGCACAGGAGCCCCCAAGUCACUGCGGCAGUGAGAAAAUCCUGGGUGGAGCUGUGGAAGGGGCUCCCAGACAUCACUGGAAGAGCUUCCAAAGCUGGCCUCAUUAUGGAGGUAGAAGCGAAUGUUGCUCCAUGUUGGGGUGAGAGCAAGGGAUUCUCAGAACUCAUCUGUCCUCAUAGCGGGGAAGAAACGAGAGCUUUGUGACAGGGCGAGGGCCCAGAAGGUGUCACUGAGCCCCACCCUGUUCAGGCCCAGCUGUUUGCACAUCAGGCCAUUUCUGGGUCUGCAGCAUUUGUAUCAAAAAGCAUCAUGACAUAGGCCAGAAUUAAAAUAUCCCAUAGGGUGGUGAUAUAGAGUACAUGAGUAGCAAUCGUAGUUUACCUUUCCUCACCUUAGAAUUUACCUCAUUAGUCAAUAUCGGCUGAUUUUUUUUCAAAUGUUAUUUGAAUCACAU